GGAAAUUUACAAACUAAACAU
rnacentral:snRNA from 1 species